UCCUCAGUAGCUCAGUGGUAGAGCGGUCGACUGUUAAUCGAUUGGUCGCAGGUUCGAAUCCUGCUGGGGAG
rnacentral:tRNA from 2 species